CCUAAAUACUAAUACCAGAUCGAUAGUGUACAAGUACCGUGAGGGAAAGGUGAAAAGAACUGAGGUGAUCAGAGUGAAAUAGAACCUGAAACCAUUUGCUUACAAUCAUUCAGAGCCCUAUGUAGCAAUACAGGGUGAUGGACUGCCUUUUGCAUAAUGAGCCUGCGAGUUGUGGUGUCUGGCAAGGUUAAGCAAACGCGAAGCCGUAGCGAAAGCGAGUCUGAAUAGGGCGCUUAGUCAGAUGCUGCAGACCCGAAACGAAGUGAUCUAUCCAUGAGCAAGUUGAAGCUAGUGUAAGAACUAGUGGAGGACUGAACCCAUAGGCGUUGAAAAGCCCCGGGAUGACUUGUGGAUAGGGGUGAAAGGCCAAUCAAACUUCGUGAUAGCUGGUUCUCUCCGAAAUAUAUUUAGGUAUAGCGUUGUGUCGUAAUAUAAGGGGGUAGAGCACUGAAUGGGCUAGGGCAUACACCAAUGUACCAAACCCUAUCAAACUCCGAAUACCUUAUAUGUAAUCACAGCAGUCAGGCGGCGAGUGAUAAAAUCCGUCGUCAAGAGGGAAACAACCCAGACUACCAGCUAAGGUCCCUAAAUCUUACUUAAGUGGAAAACGAUGUGAAGUUACUUAAACAACCAGGAGGUUGGCUUAGAAGCAGCCAUCCUUUAAAGAAAGCGUAAUAGCUCACUGGUCUAGUGAUUUUGCGCGGAAAAUAUAACGGGGCUAAAGUAAGUACCGAAGCUGUAGACUUGCACACAACUUA
rnacentral:rRNA from 1 species